GGUUAAGCGACUAAGCGUACACGGUGGAUGCCCUGGCAGUCAGAGGCGAUGAAGGACGUGCUAAUCUGCGAUAAGCGUCGGUGAGGUGAUAUGAACCGUUAUAACCGGCGAUUUCCGAAUGGGGAAACCCAGUGUGUUUCGACACACUAUCAUUAACUGAAUCCAUAGGUUAAUGAGGCGAACCGGGGGAACUGAAACAUCUAAGUACCCCGAGGAAAAGAAAUCAACCGAGAUUCCCCCAGUAGCGGCGAGCGAACGGGGAGGAGCCCAGAGUCUGAAUCAGUGUGUGUGUUAGUGGAAGCGUCUGGAAAGGCGUGCGAUACAGGGUGACAGCCCCGUACACAAAAAUGCACAUAUUGUGAGCUCGAUGAGUAGGGCGGGACACGUGGUAUCCUGUCUGAAUAUGGGGGGACCAUCCUCCAAGGCUAAAUACUCCUGACUGACCGAUAGUGAACCAGUACCGUGAGGGAAAGGCGAAAAGAACCCCGGCGAGGGGAGUGAAAAAGAACCUGAAACCGUGUACGUACAAGCAGUGGGAGCCUCUUAAUGGGGUGACUGCGUACCUUUUGUAUAAUGGGUCAGCGACUUAUAUUCUGUAGCAAGGUUAACCGAAUAGGGGAGCCGAAGGGAAACCGAGUCUUAACUGGGCGUUAAGUUGCAGGGUAUAGACCCGAAACCCGGUGAUCUAGCCAUGGGCAGGUUGAAGGUUGGGUAACACUAACUGGAGGACCGAACCGACUAAUGUUGAAAAAUUAGCGGAUGACUUGUGGCUGGGGGUGAAAGGCCAAUCAAACCGGGAGAUAGCUGGUUCUCCCCGAAAGCUAUUUAGGUAGCGCCUCGUGAAUUCAUCUCCGGGGGUAGAGCACUGUUUCGGCAAGGGGGUCAUCCCGACUUACCAACCCGAUGCAAACUGCGAAUACCGGAGAAUGUUAUCACGGGAGACACACGGCGGGUGCUAACGUCCGUCGUGAAGAGGGAAACAACCCAGACCGCCAGCUAAGGUCCCAAAGUCAUGGUUAAGUGGGAAACGAUGUGGGAAGGCCCAGACAGCCAGGAUGUUGGCUUAGAAGCAGCCAUCAUUUAAAGAAAGCGUAAUAGCUCACUGGUCGAGUCGGCCUGCGCGGAAGAUGUAACGGGGCUAAACCAUGCACCGAAGCUGCGGCAGCGACGCUUAUGCGUUGUUGGGUAGGGGAGCGUUCUGUAAGCCUGUGAAGGUGUGCUGUGAGGCAUGCUGGAGGUAUCAGAAGUGCGAAUGCUGACAUAAGUAACGAUAAAGCGGGUGAAAAGCCCGCUCGCCGGAAGACCAAGGGUUCCUGUCCAACGUUAAUCGGGGCAGGGUGAGUCGACCCCUAAGGCGAGGCCGAAAGGCGUAGUCGAUGGGAAACAGGUUAAUAUUCCUGUACUUGGUGUUACUGCGAAGGGGGGACGGAGAAGGCUAUGUUGGCCGGGCGACGGUUGUCCCGGUUUAAGCGUGUAGGCUGGUUUUCCAGGCAAAUCCGGAAAACCAAGGCUGAGGCGUGAUGACGAGGCACUACGGUGCUGAAGUAACAAAUGCCCUGCUUCCAGGAAAAGCCUCUAAGCAUCAGGUAACAUCAAAUCGUACCCCAAACCGACACAGGUGGUCAGGUAGAGAAUACCAAGGCGCUUGAGAGAACUCGGGUGAAGGAACUAGGCAAAAUGGUGCCGUAACUUCGGGAGAAGGCACGCUGAUAUGUAGGUGAAGCGACUUGCUCGUGGAGCUGAAAUCAGUCGAAGAUACCAGCUGGCUGCAACUGUUUAUUAAAAACACAGCACUGUGCAAACACGAAAGUGGACGUAUACGGUGUGACGCCUGCCCGGUGCCGGAAGGUUAAUUGAUGGGGUUAGCGGUAACGCGAAGCUCUUGAUCGAAGCCCCGGUAAACGGCGGCCGUAACUAUAACGGUCCUAAGGUAGCGAAAUUCCUUGUCGGGUAAGUUCCGACCUGCACGAAUGGCGUAAUGAUGGCCAGGCUGUCUCCACCCGAGACUCAGUGAAAUUGAACUCGCUGUGAAGAUGCAGUGUACCCGCGGCAAGACGGAAAGACCCCGUGAACCUUUACUAUAGCUUGACACUGAACAUUGAGCCUUGAUGUGUAGGAUAGGUGGGAGGCUUUGAAGUGUGGACGCCAGUCUGCAUGGAGCCGACCUUGAAAUACCACCCUUUAAUGUUUGAUGUUCUAACGUUGGCCCCUGAUCGGGGUUGCGGACAGUGUCUGGUGGGUAGUUUGACUGGGGCGGUCUCCUCCUAAAGAGUAACGGAGGAGCACGAAGGUUGGCUAAUCCUGGUCGGACAUCAGGAGGUUAGUGCAAUGGCAUAAGCCAGCUUGACUGCGAGCGUGACGGCGCGAGCAGGUGCGAAAGCAGGUCAUAGUGAUCCGGUGGUUCUGAAUGGAAGGGCCAUCGCUCAACGGAUAAAAGGUACUCCGGGGAUAACAGGCUGAUACCGCCCAAGAGUUCAUAUCGACGGCGGUGUUUGGCACCUCGAUGUCGGCUCAUCACAUCCUGGGGCUGAAGUAGGUCCCAAGGGUAUGGCUGUUCGCCAUUUAAAGUGGUACGCGAGCUGGGUUUAGAACGUCGUGAGACAGUUCGGUCCCUAUCUGCCGUGGGCGCUGGAGAACUGAGGGGGGCUGCUCCUAGUACGAGAGGACCGGAGUGGACGCAUCACUGGUGUUCGGGUUGUCAUGCCAAUGGCACUGCCCGGUAGCUAAAUGCGGAAGAGAUAAGUGCUGAAAGCAUCUAAGCACGAAACUUGCCCCGAGAUGAGUUCUCCCUGACUCCUUGAGGGUCCUGAAGGAACGUUGAAGACGACGACGUUGAUAGGCCGGGUGUGUAAGCGCAGCGAUGCGUUGAGCUAACCGGUACUAAUGAACCGUGAGGCUUAACCUU
rnacentral:rRNA from 1 species